rnacentral:rRNA from 1 species
UACGGGGGGGGCAAGCGUUGUUCGGAAUUACUGGGCGUAAAGGGCUCGUAGGCGGCCAACUAAGUCGGACGUGAAAUCCCUCGGCUUAACCGGGGAACUGCGUCCGAUACUGGAUGGCUUGAGUUCGGGAGAGGGAUGCGGAAUUCCAGGUGUAGCGGUGAAAUGCGUAGAUAUCUGGAGGAACACCGGUGGCGAAGGCGGCACCCUGGACCGACACUGACGCUGAGGAGCGAAAGCCAGGGGAGCAAACGGG